GUCCACGCCGUAAACGAUGGGUACUAGGUGUCUGGGGGAGCGACCCCCUGGGUGCCGGCGCUAACGCAUGAAGUACCCCGCCUGGGGAGUACGGCCGCAAGGCUGAAACUCAAAGGAAUUGACGGGGGCCCGCACAAGCGGUGGAGCAUGUGGUUUAAUUCGACGCAACGCGAAGAACCUUACCUAGGCUUGACAUGCUGGAGAAAGCUCGCAGAAACGUGAGCCCCUCUUCGGAGUUCCAGCACAGAUGCUGCAUGGCUGUCGU
rnacentral:rRNA from 1 species